rnacentral:rRNA from 1 species
AGUGAACGCUGGCGGUAGGCCUAACACAUGCAAGUCGAACGGCAGCACCGUAAGGGCUUGCUCUUCCGGGUGGCGGAUGGCGGAAGGGAGAGGAAUACAUCGGAAUCUACUUUUUCGGGUGGGAUAACGUAGGUGGACUUACUCUAAUAUCGCAUACGCCCUUCGGGGGAAAGCAGGGGAUCUUCUGGCCUUGCGCGAUUGAAUGAGCCGCUGUCGGGUUAGCUAGUUGGCGGGGUAAAGGCCCAGCUAGGCGACGAUCCGCAGCUGGUGUGAGAGGAUGAUCGGCGACCUUGGAAGUGAGACACCGUCCAGGGGCCUACGGGAGGCAGCAGUGGGGAACAUUGGACAAUGGGCGCAAGCAUGGUCCAGCGAGACCGCGUGUGAGAAGAAGGCCUUCGGGUUGUAAAGCCCGUUUGUUGGGAAAGAAACGCAGCAGGUUGAUACGCAGCUGGACUGACGGUACCGAAAGAAUAAGCACCGGCUAACUUCGUG